UAGAGAAAUCAAACAACCUGACAAAGAUCUCAGGUGACAAUGAUUUUUUUUCCUUCUUUUGAGUCUCCAAAGGACAGAAUUCACAUUGUCAUGGAUGUAAAUAAUUACAAGAGAAGAUGGUAAAUUAUUUACUUGGACAGAAAAAGCAACAUUGGAGUCCUCCUAAGGAACUGAUAUUUAGCUAUUGCCUUGUGAUAGAGUUGAAGGUACAAGAGACCUAGAGUAAAUUACAGCACCUCUCUGGAGGCUCCUGUGUUCAUAAUACCAGAAACUGUAUUUCAAAUGCUCUCUGGACAGUCUUUGGGGUCACUAACAGUUCUGCAAAGCCAGAAUAACUCCUCUGGCACCUCUAGAUGUACUCUUUGAACUCCAGGACUAUAACAAAGAUGAGACAUGUGCCUGGGGACCUUCCACAGGACCAGGUUUUGGGACUCUGGUGCUGCAGCCAUCAGAGAAUACUGAAUGGAAUAACAGUAGGAACUGGAGAGACUACGGUAGAUGUUUUCAUAAGUUUACUGAGUUCAGAACUGGUCUCUGAGGAACAAGGAUGACUAAUGCGUACUGGCAUAACUUUAAAAGUGAACCUAUAGAGACAUAGUAGGAAACUACACACUAGUCAGUUUGACAUGAGUUGUGAACAAAAGCCUUUGAAACUCUUUUAAGAGUCAAAGAGGAGAACAUUUGGAAAAGAGCAGAUUAACAGAAAAUAGCCAGCGUGGCUUCAGGAAGGGGAGGUCACCAUGGCUCACUAGCAGAGGGGAAUUCUUUGCGGAUGUUACUGCUGGGCUAAGGGGGGGCUGUGGUGCACCAUCACUGAGGCUGGGUGUUUCUCAAAGCAAUCUGACAAGCUCCACAGGGGGACCAAAUGGGCAAGGUACAGAGUUCGUGGAACUAGAGGAGACUGCACACUCAGACUGAGUAGGAGGUGAAGCAGAGACUAAAAAUGAUGACCUAAAUGAUGACUUCAAAAUUUUAAAGGUGAAAAGUAAAAGAGGGCUACAAAGUGCUGCAGGAACUGGCUUGAAUAAAGGAAAAAAAAAAAAAAAAUACUUACAAAACCAAAACAAACAGAAAAGCACAAAAAAGUGAGGAAAGCUUGUUACUGAUUUAGCAGACAGUGACCAAGAUUGCCAGUCCUUGGAAAAUAAUAAGCCUCUCAAUGUACUGUAAGCUAGGUAAGAAUUGCUAUGGUCCUUUCAUAGAAGAAGGAAAACAGAAGCACCACAAUAUUAAUGGUUUGCUCAAGCUCACACCUCCUACUUCAGCUGUCUGGCUCAUCAGCAGCACUUGAAGGAGAAAGGAAGACCUGGGACUAGGAUCCUCACAUGUAAGUAAAAGGGAAAAUGUUUUUUCAAUAUCUUGUUUUAAAACGAACAUUCUUGAAAUCUGGGUGGAAAAUCUUGUGAUACAAGGGAAAGAUGUUGAUUGAUCUUCCCUUGGAAUCUGUACAUUGAAUUCCACCCUCUGCCCUACCUGAUGAGGUCCCCAAUGCUGAGAACUCUCAAGCACCCAAGUGUGAAUCAGGGCAAUUUUUUCCAGAAUUACCCUCACAGCAAGAUGGCUUUCAAAAAUCACCACCCUUUAUCUCCUGGUAGAAAUAUACCAUACCCACCGAGGUUUCAAAGAUGCAGAUUAAAAUAACACCAUAAUGCAACUGAACUUCACCUAAUUGCCAGCUAGGAAAUAACACAAAGCUACUUACACCAGAAAAAAAUACUCUGGAGGAAGGUUCAUGAACACGUAUUGCUGUUACCACCAUAUUGAUGAGCACUUGCAAUAAACCCACUUUUUAUUUUAUUAGUAGCCUUCUGCUGUCCCUCAACGUCAUGAUUCCCAACUGCUGCCACACGGACCCCAGUUCUGGGACCUACGCCAGAGUGUAGGUGCAGCAGGGAGGCUGCAACCCUGCAUUUCUAAUCACAGUCACCUUUCUGAAGGGAAGAAAACAAACUCGCUUUCUUCCAAUAUUCUCUUUCUCAAAGACGCACAGUAGGCCACUCUAGAAAGGGAGCCAGAAAACAAAUAAAGGAAGAUGAGGAAGGUGAGGAAUAUGAAGUGGCUUCCAGACCAACUAGGAUUCUUCUUCUCUGAGAGGAGAUGACUGUGAGAGGUCAUGAUGGAAAAAAAAUAAAAUUAUGGAUUGUCUGUUUAUUAACCACCUUUCCCUGGUUAUUGCAAUAAAAGCAUUUUUAAAGAAAAUCCCAACCCAUCUGGCUGGUGCAACUUGGAAGUAUAGUUGCCGAAAGGAACAAAAAAAUAUGUGGAUGAAAAAUAUUCAUGGCACAUGAAAUAAAAGAGGAAGUUAUUCCUUCAGAGAAAGAGAUGAUAAUACCUAAAGUACAAGAGAUAUUAAUGACUACUGUAGUACUGAUCAGUGCUGAGGCUGGAGGAGCUCUGCAGUAGGAACACUCAUUUCACUAUAAGCAAGUACAGCCCCUGGCACAGAGUAUCCCAAAUGAAAGGCACUACCAACAAUAAAGCAUACACUGCCAAAAAGGAUUCCAUGAAGAAUGAGACCUGAAAGUAAUUUUACAUAAUAUUUUCACAAUGUUUUGUAAUGUCCUGUCUAUACCAUGUGUUUUUGAUCUGAUACAAAAUGUAUUCUUAAGAUAGGAUAUUCUUUUGUAGAGUAAUUUCCAAUAUUACCUGUAGGAACUAUUCCUGGAGUAUGUAAAACACUAAAAUUGGAAAGAACUUCUGAAGUUGGGUCUUCCAGUUUCUACACAUCAACUUAUCAUUUUUACCCAUGCAGAGUGAGUGUAGACAGCUAACAGGACAGAACAACAACAAAAGGCUGCAGCAGGACUUCCUGGGGACCAUAGCAGAAGUUUAGUCUAUGAUCUUCUCUGUAUUACAUGUUCUGAGUCAGACACUCCUCUGCUUCUCGAAAAAGAAAAAGAAAAAGGAAAAGGAAAAUAAAAGGAAAAAGAAAAAGAAAAAGAAAAAGAAAAAGAAAAAGAAAAAGAAAAAGAAAAAGAAAAAGAAAAAGAAAAAGAAAAAGAAAAAGAAAAAGAAAAAGAAAAAGAAAAAAAGAAAAAGAAAAAGAAA